rnacentral:rRNA from 1 species
UACGUAGGGUGCGAGCGUUAAUCGGAAUUACUGGGCGUAAAGCGUGCGCAGGCGGUUUUGCAAGCCGGAUGUGAAAUCCCCGGGCUCAACCUGGGAAUGGCAUUUGGGACGGCAAGGCUCGAGUGCGGCAGAGGAGACUGGAAUUCCUGGUGUAGCAGUGAAAUGCGUAGAUAUCAGGAGGAAUACCGAUGGCGAAGGCAGGUCUCUGGGCCGUAACUGACGCUGAGGAGCGAAAGCGUGGGGAGCGAACAGG